UACAGAGGGUGCGAGCGUUAAUCGGAAUUACUGGGCGUAAAGCGCACGUAGUCGGCUUUGCAAGUCGGGUGUGAAAUCCCCGGGCUCAACCUGGGAACUGCAUCCGAGACUGCAUUGCUAGAGUAUGGGAGAGGGAAGCGUAAUUUCUGGUGUAGCAGUGAAAUGCGUAGAUAUCAGAAGGAACAUCAGUGGCGAAGGCGGCUUCCUGGACCAAUACUGACGAUCAGGUGCGAAAGCGUGGGGAGCAAACAGG
rnacentral:rRNA from 1 species